UACGUAGGGACCAAGCGUUGUUCGGAUUUACUGGGCGUAAAGGGCGCGUAGGCGGGUCAGCAAGUCCGGGGUGAAAGCUUUCGGCUCAACCGGAAAAGGGCCUUGGAUACUGCUGGUCUGGAGGAAGGUAGGGGCGUGUGGAACUUCCGGUGGAGCGGUGAAAUGCGUAGAUAUCGGAAGGAACGCCGGUGGCGAAAGCGACACGCUGGACCUUUUCUGACGCUGAGGCGCGAAAGCCAGGGGAGCAAACGGG
rnacentral:rRNA from 1 species